GCCACCUUAGUUCAGUGGUAGAACAAUACACUCGUAACGUAUAAACGUGAGUUCGAUUCUCACAGGUGGCU
rnacentral:tRNA from 1 species